UCCUGUGUAAGAACUCUUGAUAACAAAAGUUUCUUUUCAGCAGCUCGAUGAUGAUGAUCAAGGAGAAGAUACAUCAAACUUCUAUGCUGUGUAAGAACUCUUGUUCGUCUUAUCUGGUAAUUUCAUGAGCUUUCUCACACACCAGAUCCUACAUUUGGAGGAACUGGACCAGCAUUUGCUUUAAUAGGAGCUUGGCUUGUUGACCAAUUUCAGAACAAGGAGAUGAUCAAAAGUGAUGAGUACAAAGACUUGUUUCAGAAGGCCAUUAUAGUGACGGGGCUUGGUCUCAUACUAAGCCAUUUCGGUCCAUAGAUGACUGGUAAGCUUUCAUCUGAUCAUGGGGGUACUCUUGUGUUUAUGCUUCUAAUAACAUGUGCGAGUCAUGACAUGACAAAUCUGGGAGCACUUGUAGCUGGGGUUGUGUACGGAUUCUUCACUUGUCCGGUGUUUCAACUUGGGAGUGGAAGUGAAGGGUUUGUGACGGUUGGAGCAGAUAAACAGAACAGAGUUGACCCGUGUAAAUCGUUUCUGAUUUUCACAAUCUUUGUCGCGGUUCUUGUGACUUUUGUGCUAGUUCUUGGGGAUGGAGUAUUGACCUUCCCUACGUACGAUGAUGUUUUCUACUCUCAUCUAGUGUAUCAUCUUCAUCGUCAAGACAUCAGCUAUAUAAGCAAACUUGUGUGUGUGUGUUUGUGUAGUGGAAAGUUAAAUUCUAGUACUGGUAAACUAGCGGAGUAGUUUGGUUUGGGGGUUUAGCAAAAUGAGAAAACUGUACUAAACUCGCAUAUCUGAAGUCUUUUCUUAAUCAAGUUAAAAGCUUUUCA